rnacentral:lncRNA from 1 species
UCAAAUUAAAUUUAUUUCAUGGUAUUUUUCAAAUGAUCAAAUCAAUCUACCAUGUCAGUCAACUCCAAUCCUAAUUUGGUAUGGCUAACUUCGCUUCCAACUUAGACCAACUUAUUACAAAGCAUCGAUAACUCACCUACACAUGUGGUCCAUGUACAUUGACAUAUUUUUUUAGAAACACGCAAAAAAAACGUACAUACAAGCACAUAUAUUCACCCCUAUGAAUGCACAGACGCAAACUGUACCCCUGUGAACACCUCCAAGACUGAGUAGACGGAUCUUGAGAUUUACGAAGACACCACAUGCACCUCAUUGUUGAUAUGAACGUCACCUCCCACUGAAUGAAUAUUUUGCCUAAUGAGACAGUAGUUAGAUUCCCGUCCAUUGUAAGAGGGGCAUAAAUAUCCUAGUGUUUAAACACCAAUCGUAUCAACAUAUACCUUUUGGAAUCCGCGUGCACAAUUCUUCUUACCCCCGCCCCAAUUCCGAGCUCGCUACCGCCUUCAAUGGCACAUCUGACUUGUAAUCCCUAUUCCCCG